GGGGCCGUCCCGGAAGAGUGGCGGCAGCUGGGGGCCGGCCGGCAGCCCCGGCGAGGGGAUCGAGUUCCGGCCCCCUACCUACGGCUUUGCCCCGUCCGUCGGCGGUUCCUGGCCCCGCCAUGAGCCAACCGGUCACCGCCGCCACCUACGUCCGCAGUUUGCGCUACGGGCUGCUGAGGCAGCUGGCCGACCUCCUGGACCCGCAGGAGGGCUGGAAGCGGCUGGCCGCGGCCAUCACCGACCCGGCCGGCGAGAGCAGAUACAGCCAGGCGCACAUCAGGAGAUUUGAAGCGUUUGUGCAAAUGGGGAAGAGUCCCACGUGUGAAUUGCUUUAUGACUGGGGAACAACAAAUUGUACGGUUGGUGACCUUGUGGAUCUGCUGAUUAGGAACCAGUUUCUGGCACCAGCAAGUCUUUUGCUUCCAGAAGCUGUCGGGAUGGCACAAGAAGUUACGUUACCUCUUUCUUCACAGGAAACUUUGCCUGUAUGUGAGAAACAACAGCCUAUACAGGAAAAAGAAGUGACAUCUGUAAAGCCUGUUUUGUCUCAGAACACAGAGAAGCAACCUUCAGCCCCUCCAUGUUUAAGUCAAGAAAUCAGCAGCACACAGUCUAGUAACACAGAUUUCCACAAUUUUUGGUUUCACGACUUGGAAAGUGUUACAAAUAAUUUUGAUGAACGACCAGAAUCAGCUGGAGGAAAUAAGCUGGGGGAAGGUGGCUUUGGCAUUGUGUUCAAAGGCUACAUCAAUGGCAGAAACGUGGCUGUCAAGAAACUUGCUGCUGUGGUUGAUGUUAGUGCACAGGAUUUGAAACAGCAGUUUGAUCAAGAAAUAGAAAUUAUGGCAAAGUGUAAACAUGAAAAUCUGGUAGAAUUGCUUGGUUUCUCAAGUGAUGGUGCUCAGCCCUGUUUGGUGUAUGAAUACAUGCCCAAUGGUUCGCUGCUUGACAGACUUGCUUGUCUGGAUGGCACUCCACCUAUUUCUUGGAACACAAGGUGUGAAAUUGCUCAAGGUACUGCGAAUGGCAUCAACUUUCUGCAUGACAAUAAUCAUAUUCACAGAGACAUUAAAAGGUUGACAAGGAGCAGCCAAUGGGUUGGGUGUCAUGGAUGAAUAUUUCAGUGGCUUUCUGGCUUCUGACACCUCUGCUAAAUCUAGGCUGCAUAGGCUUUGUGAACUUCCAUUCUGUGAGGAAGUAGUUUUUGCUUCAGCUCACCCGUAAAAGUGCAAAUAUCUUAUUAACUGAUACGUAUGUGCCCAAAAUUUCGGACUUUGGACUUGCAAGAGCAUCAGUAACAUUCACACGAACCAUCAUGACAGACAGAGUUGUGGGAACAGCAGCCUAUAUGGCACCUGAAGCUCUGCGAGGAGAAAUAACGCCUAAAUCCGAUAUCUUCAGCUUUGGGGUAGUCUUACUAGAAGUAAUAACAGGUCUGCCACCAGUAGACGAAAACCGGGAGCCACAGUUACUGUUAAGUAUCAAGGAUGAAAUUGAGGAUGAGGAGGCGACUAUAGAGGAUUAUGUUGACGUAAAGAUGAGUGACUGGGAUGCAACUUCAGUUCAUAAAAUGUACUCACUUGCUGAUCAGUGUCUGAAUGAGAAAAAAAACAGGAGGCCAAACAUGAAGAUGGUCCAGCAGUAUUUACAAGAGAUAAAAACGUGACAUGCAUUUCUGAUACACCUGUUUUCUGAAUGGAGUGCCGACCAGCAGCAAGUAGAGAAUUUUAUUAGCACUUACUGUGACAUUAUCAGCCUUCCUGCCUUCCAGAACUUUCUGGUCCGCAUGUAAGGCAUGCAGGUGGCUUGUCAUCGUCAUGCUAUUUUUCUUAAUUUAUUUGUUAACUGGGCAUCUUUUCAUCCAACUGUAGCCACAGAACCCUCAACCUGAGAAAGCUUUUUUUCUGUUUUUUUGUAUACGUAGGUUUUUAAACACGUUUCUGUAUUGCCAUCUCUCUGACUUUUCCUUGCCAAGUAUCUUCAGCAAAGCAAUGUGAUAGUAACAAGGUGGAUGUUUUUCUGCAAUUCUUUUUCUUGAGCAGACCUACUAGACCUUUCUUUACUGAAGACCAAAAUGUUUAGUAGACGUAAGUAGCAUUUACAUUAUCUCGUUGGCAGAAGGCAGUAGCAGUACCCACAUUUAAACCAACUUAGCAUUUUAGCUUGAGAGUUCAUAUGAGUGUGAACAAACUGGUAACACCCAUGAACAUGAGUAUUUUUUAGAAAGCCUUCUCAGGAUUUGUUUCAGUCAGAUAAGCGCUGCAAAAGAUCUUUUAGGUUUAGAGGUCUUGCAGGCAGAGCAAUUACAUCACAGCGCAAAUGCGGAAAUGUGUGGCUUUCUUCUGGUGAGCUCUGCUGAUGAACCAUUUAAUCAUUGUUCAGAGGAAGACUUAUAGUUACUUCUUAUUUUUUGUGUUAGGAGAAGAGUCCUUGUGAGAUACUGCAAAUAUUGACAGUUUAUUUUGUUAAAGGAGUCAAUGUUAGGACUAAUUCUGCAUUCUCCUUGGUCAAAUCAUUAAGCUCUUACGUGUAUGCAUAUUAAUGAAGUAUUAAAAUACACAAAAUUACUGC